GAGUUUGAUCUUGGCUCAGGAUGAACGCCGGCGGUGUGCCUAAUACAUGCAAGUUGUACGCACUGGCCCAACUGAUUGAUGGUGCUUGCACCUGAUUGACGAUGGAUCACCAGUGAGUGGCGGACGGGUGAGUAACACGUAGGUAACCUGCCCCGGAGCGGGGGAUAACAUUUGGAAACAGAUGCUAAUACCGCAUAAACAACAAAAAGCCACAUGGUCUUUUGUUUGAAAGAUGGUCUUUGGCUAUCACUCUGGGAUGGACCUGCGGUGCAUUAGCUAGUUGGUAAGGUAACGGCUUACCAAGGCGACGAUCAGUAGCGGGUCUGAGAGGAUGAUCCGCC
rnacentral:rRNA from 1 species